UUCUUUCCCUUUAUCCCUAACCAGUAUCGCCAUCCUCCACACAUCAUCAUCAUCCACCGGAAUCACACCCUCUGCAAUACCACAUCUCCGUCGCACCCUCACCACACCGGAACCGCCGGAGCCGGACCCUAAACCCUCCAUCGUCUUCUUCAAUCGCCGCCCGUCGUCGGCCGUCGCCCCUCUCCCUCUUCUCCACCGACCCGCUACUCGACACCACCUUCUACGACUCUGCCCGCAUAUAUGGUAUUGAAUACUCUCUGCAUUGUUAAAGAGAAAAGGGUAGCCCAACUGUCUCAAGAUCACCACUGUCCAAGCGUUCGCAUAAAACAUCUUCGACCCGAUCCUCCGCCGCCUUUGUAGAUGCCUUCCACAUAUUUCUCCGAGCCUCGAGGACGAUGCUACAUCUUAAGCUUGGGGAGAUUAGAGGUAAUUUUUAUGUUUUCAUCAUAGCAUGUAUUACUUAGUUUGUAAAUAGUUGCAUAUAGUUGCAUUUUUCAUGUUCAUUGCAUUUAGGGUGUAUAUACAUGCAUAAAAAAUUCUUAAAAAAAAGACCGUUUCUGUUCCGCUGAGAAUGAUUUGUGAAAAAUGAGAAAUGAUAUGAUUUCUAGCAUGUCAAAGCUUAUGCGUGAAAUGGUAACUUUGGGGAAGAAAACAUAGAUAAUUCGGGAUGUGUUGAUAGGCUCGGCCCUAAUUUAGGAACGCCAAUGUUGUAUGCAAUAACCUUAAUCGAAUAUAUGUGUUUAGUUUCCCAUCUUGAUGCUUGUGGUCAAAGAUUGAUCCCGACCAAAAAUCGGUUGAGUUGCAUAUCCUCUAUCACACACCAUGUUCCCCAUAUCAUGACACCUCCGUAAUUUCAUUGGAAAAAAAAUAAAGAGGUGAAAAAUUGACCUCAUAGGUUAUUAUAGUAAAAAAAAACAAAAAGAAAAAAAAAAGAGAAAAAGGAAGGGGUAAAAGAGCACAAUGUAUGCCAAAAAUUGAAAAAAAAAUCGAAAUCGAAAUAAUAAAAAAAAAUAUUUGAGCAAAUUAGGGAGAAAAGUCCCGACCCCUUGAAAAACGGAAAAAAAAAAGAUAAUAACUAUCGUGUCAUGAUUGGGUGCAUGGUCGCAUCAAGUGUGGUUUUGGAAAUCUUCAAAAAGUCGUGAGGUUGGGUAGAUGUUGCCAUAGGUGUUGGGCGUGGGGACGAUUGAACCAUGUUGGUAAAUUUGUAUAUUAUUAAGCAGAAAGCAUUUGGUUGUGAUUAAGCGGGUUUGAGUUUAAGGGGACACAAAAUAUCAACAAUCGCGGUUACACGUGUAAGUAUUUUCCGGGUUCGAAUGAAUGUAAUAGGAGUUGAUAUUGUUAGAUAUGAUCUCAUUACAAGUUUAUUUUCCGGAAUAAAAGAAGCGGGUUGAAAAAAAAUAAUAGUGAGCACGCAUAUGUCUUUUAUUUUUCAUGUUUAUUUCUCGGUUUAUUCUUAUUCUUGACUUCCUUGAGGACAAGGAAAGGUUUAAGCUUGGGGAGAUUUGUUAGUUGCAUUUUUAGGCACGUUUUAUAGCAUAUUAAUAUUAAAAAUUCACCACAUAUUAUGCAUAUUUCGUAGUCAUACCUCGUUAUUUUGCGAAACGCUUGUUUUUGUGGAAUGGAAUCUACUUUGGUUGGUUUUUUGGUUGAUAUUGCAGGUGCGGAGCGCUUGCUAAGGAUGACAUGGGAGUUGGAAAGGACUGGACGGGAUCUUAAAGGCAAAAGUUUCGAGACGAGAACAUGCUAAAACAAUUAAAAUGAUGGUAUUCAGCUUCUUGUGCAAAUUGGAGGAGCAAUUAU
rnacentral:lncRNA from 1 species